GAGCCAGGAGCCCCAGUGCCCUUUCCUCCUCCCACCGCGCACCAAAACAUGGGGUCCAAGAUCUUCUGUUGUUGCCGCAAGACCAGCGAGGGGUCUUCCACCACUGUUGGCUUCCACAAUCCAAGAAUGUUCGAACAGCAUCAUCCACGGUCCUUCAUGCUGUACCAAAAAGACAUCCACGCCUCCCCUAUGACAACCGCAUGAUGCUCAAGGCGUGCAUCCUUAGGAGGCCAUGAGCAUUCUAGCCGGCGGCACCCACGUGGUCCCUGCGGCUGCACAGCUGCUGGGCUUCCAUGAGGAAGAGGGCAGUGGACAAGAGUCAUGAAGACUGAUUCAGAAACUCCCCUGCAGGAGGAGAAGACGUCUGAGCCAUCCCUGUGCCACCACCAAGAGUCACUCCAGCUUCUGAAAAAGCCACCGUGGGGGGGAGCCGCCUCCAAUUAAAGUCCUUGGUCACAUCAGAGGAAGUGUCUCUCCUCCUUCCCCCUUUGCCAGCCCUACCUCUGAGAUUCCCAAAAACAUGGAGCAAUUAGACCCUGGCACCUCUUGGAAAGAAAUGUGGUUUUGUCAUUUUAACGCAUUAACACAUUUGUUUCAGUCACUCCUAACCAACCUAACAGGGAAGUGCUAUAUUAGGAGAGGCCAGUUUGUAUAACAGGCCACUGUCAUAAACGUCCAGAGCUUCAGGGCACAAUUCUGCUUGCCUACUGUGCGACUCCAUUUGACGCUCAGGGCCAUAGGGAACAGCAGGGCAUGUUGUGAAAAACUCUACAAACAGCAGCCCUAGAGUUAUGCAAUGCGUAGCCAGUGCUGAUACGCAGCACCGCUUGUGCUGAAACACGGAGUAUGCAACUGUGAGUAAUAUGCAGAAGACCCCACAUGGUUUCCACAUUAGCCAGGGAGCCAGGCAUGGAAGUGUAUCACUCUGACAUAAUAGGGCAAAAACUUGGAAAGCAAAAUGACAAAGGAGCAUUUUGCAACUGACUCGGGGAUUAAUGGAAGGCUUCCUGGAGGCGAUGGUGCUUGAAGGGAAGUUAGCUAAAAGGAGAAGGGAUGAUAUUCCAGAAGGAGGGAAUACAAUCAGCAAAGUUGGAAAAUAGGGGCACGACCUGGGAGGGCAUGAGGGUAGCAAAGUACCAAGUCUAGAAUGACUCAAGUGAAAACCUGAGCCAGGGUUUGGUGGGAGGUGAAGUGGGCAGAGCAUCAAGAGCUUUGUAUCCAGGGAAAAGGAGCUGAACUCUAUCUUGAAAAUAAUGGGAAGCCACAGGUGAGUUUUAAGCAACAAAGUGACACAGCCUGAUUUCCAACUUUUGUACUAUGAACAGUGCCUUAGUCUGUUCAGACUACUAAAAUAAGAUACCAUAACCGGGUGACUUACAAACAACAGAAGUUUAUUUCUCACAGUUUUGGAGGCUGGGAAGUCCAAGAUCAAAACUCCAGCAGCAUCAGUGUCUGGUGAGGGCCUGUUCCUCAUAGAGGGCGCUUCUUGCUGUGUUCUCACAUAGCAGAAGGGGCAAGGGGUCUCUCUCAGGCUCUUUCAUAAGGGCACUAAUCUCAAUCGUGAGGGCUCUGCUCUCAUGACCUAAUCCUCCUAAACCUCCCAAAGACCACAAUUCUUAUACCAUCACCUUGGGAGUUAAGAUUUCAACACAUGAAUUUGGGGGAACAUUAACAUUCAGACCAUAACAAACAAGGCGAGUUGGAAGACAACACUUUUUUUGUUUGUUUGUCUGUUUGUCUGAGACGGAGUCUUGCUCUGUCACCCAGCCUGGAGGGCAGUGGCAUGAUCUUGGCUGGCUGCAACCUCCACCUCCCAGGUUCAAGGAUUCUCCUGCCUCAGCCUCCCAAGUAGCUACAGGAAAGUGCCACCACACCCAGCUAAUUUUUUUUUUUAAUUUUUUUUUUGAGACGGAGUUUCUCUUUCGUUGCCCAGGCUGGAGUGCAAUGGCACACUUUCGGCUCACAGCAACCUCUGCCUCCCGGGUUCAAGCGAUUCUCCUGCCUCAGCCUCCUGAGUAGCUGGGAUUACAGGCACCCUCCACCAUGCCUGGCUAAUUUUGUAUUUUUAGUAGAGACAGGGUUUCUCCAUGUUGAUCAGGCUGGUCUCCAACUCCUGACCUCAGGUGAUCCGCCCGCCUCAGCCUCCCAAAACGCUGGGAUUACAGGCGUGAGCUACCGCGCCCGGCCUAAUUUUUGUAUUUUUAGUAGAGACGGGGUUUUGCCAUUUUGUUCAGGCUGGUCUUAAACUCCUGACCUCAGGUGAUCCGCCCAUCUCAACCUCCCAAAGUCCUGGGAUUACAGGCGUGAGCCACUACACCCGGCCAGAAGACAAUUUAUUAAUUAGCACUCCUUAUGCCUUCCCCACCUCAGAAAAGAGAAGAAUAAAGGAAUAUGAUGUCUAUGCCAUGGCAAUGUGGAGUAAAAUUCAUACCUUCAAUGAAAAGCCCAUCCUGGCUAUAAUGUGAAGGAUGGAUUUUGUUUUGUUUUGUUUUGUUUUUUGAGACGGAGUCUC
rnacentral:lncRNA from 1 species